rnacentral:rRNA from 1 species
CAACAGGGAUUGCCCUAGUAACGGCGAGUGAAGCGGCAACAGCUCAAAUUUGAAAUCUGGCUCUUUCAGAGUCCGAGUUGUAAUUUGCAGAGGGCGCUUUGGCUUUGGCAGCGGUCCAAGUUCCUUGGAACAGGACGUCACAGAGGGUGAGAAUCCCGUACGUGGUCGCUAGCUAUUGCCGUGUAAAGCCCCUUCGACGAGUCGAGUUGUUUGGGAAUGCAGCUCUAAAUGGGAGGUAAAUUUCUUCUAAAGCUAAAUAUUGGCCAGAGACCGAUAGCGCACAAGUAGAGUGAUCGAAAGAUGAAAAGCACUUUGGAAAGAGAGUCAAACAGCACGUGAAAUUGUUGAAAGGGAAGCGCUUGCAGCCAGACUUGCUUGCAGUUGCUCAUCCGGGCUUUUGCCCGGUGCACUCUUCUGCAGGCAGGCCAGCAUCAGUUUGGGCGGUGGGAUAAAGGUCUCUGUCAUGUACCUCUCUUCGGGGAGGCCUUAUAGGGGAGGCGACAUACCACCAGCCUAGACUGAGGUCCGCGCAUCUGCUAGGAUGCUGGCGUAAUGGCUGUAAGCGGCCCGUCUUGAAACACGGACCAAGGAGUCUAACAUCUAUGCGAGUGUUUGGGUGUCAAGCCCGAGCGCGUAAUGAAAGUGAACGGAGGUGGGAACCCGCAAGGGUGCACCAUCGACCGAUCCUGAAGUUUACGGAAGGAUUUGAGUAAGAGCAUGGCUGUUGGGACCCGAAAGAUGGUGAACUAUGCUUGAAUAGGGUGAAGCCAGAGGAAACUCUGGUGGAGGCUCGCAGCGGUUCUGACGUGCAAAUCGAUCGUCAAAUUUGGGCAUAGGGGCGAAAGACUAAUCGAACUAUCU